rnacentral:misc_RNA from 1 species
AACUCUCAAACCGCAUCUUUUAUCGGAUGUCGGGCUUGGACUUGGACGUUGCUGGGCCCCCCACGGGUUCGGCUCGUCUCAAAUGCAUUAGCUGACUCUCCCGACUUCAGUUUUCGGCGUGAUAAUCACAUCUACGUCGAUGCCGCGAGGCGCUGGACCGGGGAUCAAACGGCUUCCAACCGUCCGCAAGGACAAUCGAAUUUCAUCUCA